ncrna:Bacillus sp. Co1-6 L31-Firmicutes ribosomal protein leader
CUCUGUUUCCACACGGGAUUCAGGGCGGAAGGAG